rnacentral:rRNA from 1 species
GACGAACGCUGGCGGCGUGCCUAAUACAUGCAAGUCGAACGAGAGCACCCGGUGCUUGCACUGGUCAAUCUAGUGGCGAACGGGUGAGUAACACGUAGGUAACCUGCCCAUCAGAGGGGGAUAACAUCCGGAAACGGAUGCUAAAACCGCAUAGGUCUUCGAACCGCAUGGUUUGAAGAGGAAAAGAGGCGCAAGCUUCUGCUGAUGGAUGGACCCGCGGUGCAUUAGCUAGUUGGUGAGGUAACGGCUCACCAAGGCCGUGAUGCAUAGCCGACCUGAGAGGGUGAUCGGCCACAUUGGGACUGAGACACGGCCCAAACUCCUACGGGAGGCAGCAGUAGGGAAUCUUCCGCAAAGGACGCAAGUCUGACGGAGCAACGCCGCGUGAGUGAAGAAGGUUUUCGGAUCGUAAAACUCUGUUGUUAGAGAAGAACAAGUGCUAGAGUAACUGUUAGCGCCUUGACGGUAUCUAACCAGAAAGCCACGGCUAACUACGUG